rnacentral:rRNA from 1 species
UGGGUGGUAUAUUUCAUCUAAAGCUAAAUAUUGGCCAGAGACCGAUAGCGCACAAGUAGAGUGAUCGAAAGAUGAAAAGCACUUUGGAAAGAGAGUUAAACAGUACGUGAAAUUGUUGAAAGGGAAGCGCUUGCAAUCAGACUUGCACUUGACGUUCAGCUUUGUCUCGACAGAGUGUACUUCGUCAAGUUCAGGCCAGCAUCGGUUUGGGUGGUUAGAUAAAGACCAAGAGAAUGUGACCCUCUUCGGGGGGUGUUAUAGCUCUAGGUGCAAUGUAGCCUACCUGGACCGAGGACCGCGCUUCGGCUAGGAUGCUGG